GACGAACGCUGGCGGCGUGCUUAACACAUGCAAGUCGAACGGAAAGGCCCUGCUUUUGUGGGGUGCUCGAGUGGCGAACGGGUGAGUAACACGUGAGUAACCUGCCCUUGACUUUGGGAUAACUUCAGGAAACUGGGGCUAAUACCGGGUAGGAGCUCCUGCUGCAUGGUGGGGGUUGGAAAGUUUCGGCGGUUGGGGAUGGACUCGCGGCUUAUCAGCUUGUUGGUGGGGUAGUGGCUUACCAAGGCUUUGACGGGUAGCCGGCCUGAGAGGGUGACCGGCCACAUUGGGACUGCGGUACGGCCCAGACGCCUACGGGAGGCAGCAGUGGGGAAUAUUGCACAAUGGGGGGAAGCCUGAGGCAGCAACGCCGCGUGCGGGAUGACGGCCUUCGGGUUGUAAACCGCUUUCGCCUGUGACGAAGCGUGAGUGACGGUAAUGGGUAAAGAGGCACCGGCUAACUACGUG
rnacentral:rRNA from 1 species